rnacentral:rRNA from 1 species
GGUGGAUCUGCCCUCGCACUUCUGGAUAAGCUUGGGAAACUGGGUCUAAUACCGGAUAGGAACCAUCUUUAGUGUGGUGGUUGGAAAGUUUUUUCGGUGUAGGAUGAGCUCGCGGCCUAUCAGCUUGUUGGUGGGGUAAUGGCCUACCAAGGCGGCGACGGGUAGCCGGCCUGAGAGGGUGUACGGCCACAUUGGGACUGAGAUACGGCCCAG